rnacentral:rRNA from 1 species
UCCUACGGGGGGCAGCAGUGGGGAAUAUUGCACAAUGGGCGAAAGCCUGAUGCAGCAACGCCGCGUGAGUGAUGAAGGCCUUCGGGUUGUAAAGCUCUGUCUUUUGGGACGAUAAUGACGGUACCAAAGGAGGAAGCCACGGCUAACUACGUGCCAGCAGCCGCGGUAAUACGUAGGUGGCAAGCGUUGUCCGGAUUUACUGGGCGUAAAGAAUGCGUAGGCGGACAUUUAAGUCAGAUGUGAAAUACCCGGGCUCAACUUGGGUGCUGCAUUUGAAACUGGGUGUCUAGAGUGCGGGAGAGGUAAGUGGAAUUCCUAGUGUAGCGGUGAAAUGCGUAGAGAUUAGGAAGAACACCAGUGGCGAAGGCGACUUACUGGACCGUAACUGACGCUGAGGCAUGAAAGCGUGGGGAGCAAACAGGAUUAGAUACCCUGGUAGC